GCAAUUGUUUAUAUACCCCUGAAAAGUUUCCGACUUUUCGAUUUACCCUUCUUAAAAGGCUAAUAUUGAAAAUGCGCUUUCUACGUUCCAACCUAUUUCUAAUAUAUCUCUCGAAUUAAAAUCUAUUAAUUAAUUCUGUUAUUUCUGUAAAAUUACUAUUUUGUCCUUUCAAAUAUACCCUUCCACCAUCAUUGACUUUCUUAUUUGCCCUCAAAGUCAGGGGCACAAAAAAUAAUUUGACUUUUGAUCUUUUCCAAUAUACCUCUCUAUCGUCAUCAACAUUUCUUAUUUGCCCUUAAGUUAAGGAUAAAAUUGAUAUUUUAAUUUUUUUUUAACUGUGGUAGAUAUUUAACUCACGUUUAAUCCAAGUUAACUUAACAGGAGAUAACUGCGGGAGUAUUUUGCAAUAACGGUGGAACAUAUGAGGGAUAUUUAAGAAAGAAAAAAAAGGGGAUAAAUCGGAUAUUUUCAAACGUACGAAGAGUAUAUAGACAAUUAUUUUUUUAUUUUUUUAUUUUUUUUUCCAAGACAGAGAAUGUGUGGAGGUGAUUAUUGAAAUGGAA
rnacentral:lncRNA from 1 species